rnacentral:tRNA from 1 species
GUGUAGCUCAGUGGUAGAGCCUAUGCCUAGCAUGCACAAGGCCCUCAGUUCAGUCCCCAGCUACA